rnacentral:lncRNA from 12 species
CUUCUCUGGGCUACUUUUUCUUGCCAUUUAAAGAGGAAAUACAUUCUCAAAAGUUAAAAUGCAUUUGAACAGGGACAUUUGCUCCAGUAGACAUUCCAGGAAUACACACACUUCCUUUGAUUUCAUUAGGAGUCAUCC